rnacentral:rRNA from 1 species
CAAUCCCUGAGUAAAGUGGCGACCGGGUGAGUAACACGUGACUAACCUACCCUCGAGUGUGGAAUAACAUCGGGAAACCGAUGCUAAUACCGCAUAACAUCGCAAGAUCAAAGGAGCAAUCCGCUUGAGGAGGGGGUCGCGGCUGAUUAGCUAGUUGGCGGGGUAACGGCCCACCAAGGCGAAGAUCGGUAGCCGGCCUGAGAGGGCGCACGGCCACACUGGAACUGAAACACGGUCCAGACUCCUACGGGAGGCAGCAGUGGGGAAUUUUGCGCAAUGGGGGAAACCCUGACGCAGCAACGCCGCGUGGAGGAUGAAGCCCCUUGGGGCGUAAACUCCUUUCGACCAAGACGAUAAUGACGGUACUGGUGGAAGAAGCACCGGCUAACUCUGUGCCAGCAGCCGCGGUAAUACAGAGGGUGCAA